CUACACAUGCAGUCGAGGGGCAGCACAAAGAUAGCUUGCUAUUUUGGUGGCGACCGGCGCACGGGUGCGUAACGCGUAUGCAAUCUACCUUAUACUGGGGUAUAGCCCGAAGAAAUUCGGAUUAAUCCCCCAUAGUACUGAUGUACCUCAUGGUAAUUCAGUUAAAGUUUCGGCGGUAUGAGAUGAGCAUGCGUCCUAUUAGCUAGAUGGUAAGGUAACGGCUUACCAUGGCUACGAUAGGUAGGGGGCCUGAGAGGGUGACCCCCCACACUGGUACUGAGACACGGACCAGACUCCUACGGGAGGCAGCAGUGAGGAAUAUUGGUCAAUGGGCGCAAGCCUGAACCAGCCAUGCCGCGUGCAGGAAGAAUGCCCUAUGGGUUGUAAACUGCUUUUAUUUAGGAAUAAACCUUUCUACGUGUAGAAAGCUGAAGGUACUGAAUGAAUAAGCACCGGCUAACUCCGUGCCAGCAGCCGCGGUAAUACGGAGGGUGCAAGCGUUAUCCGGAAUCAUUGGGUUUAAAGGGUCCGCAGGCGGGCGUAUAAGUCAGUGGUGAAAUCCUGCAGCUUAACUGCAGAGCUGCCAUUGAUACUGUACGUCUUGAAUUCGGUCGAAGUGGGCGGAAUGUGUAGUGUAGCGGUGAAAUGCAUAGAUAUUACACAGAACACCGAUAGCGAAGGCAGCUCACUAGGCCUGGAUUGACGCUCAGGGACGAAAGCGUGGGGAUUAAACAGGAUUAGAUACCCUGGUAGUCCACGCUGUAAACGAUGAUUACUCGUUUUCGGCGAUAUACUGUCGGAGACUAAGCGAAAGUGAUAAGUAAUCCACCUGGGGAGUACGAUCGCAAGGUUGAAACUCAAAGGAAUUGACGGGGGCCCGCACAAGCGGUGGAGCAUGUGGUUUAAUUCGAUGAUACGCGAGGAACCUUAUCAGGGCUUGAAAGUUAGUGAAGAAUGUGGAAACAUGUUCGUCAGCAAUGACACGAAACUAGGUGCUGCAUG
rnacentral:rRNA from 1 species